AACGAACGCUGGCGGCAGGCUUAACACAUGCAAGUCGAGCGCCCCGCAAGGGGAGCGGCAGACGGGUGAGUAACGCGUGGGAAUCUACCGUACCCUACGGAAUAGCUCCGGGAAACUGGAGUUAAUACCGUAUACGCCCUACGGGGGAAAGAUUUAUCGGGGUAUGAUGAGCCCGCGUUGGAUUAGCUAGUUGGUGGGGUAAAGGCCUACCAAGGCGACGAUCCAUAGCUGGUCUGAGAGGAUGAUCAGCCACAUUGGGACUGAGACACGGCCCAAACUCCUACGGGAGGCAGCAGUGGGAAAUAUGGGACAAUGGGGGCAACCCUGAUCCAGCCAUGCCGCGUGAGUGAUGAAGGCCUUAGGGUUGUAAAGCUCUUUCACCGGGGAAGAUAAUGACGGUACCCGGAGAAGAAGCCCCGGCUAACUUCGUGCCAGCCGCCGCGGUAACAC
rnacentral:rRNA from 1 species